rnacentral:piRNA from 1 species
GUAGAGCAUCAGACUUUUAAUCUGAGGGU